rnacentral:lncRNA from 7 species
ACCGUAAACAACACGCGAUGAGUUGAGCUGGUGCAUGUUCUGCUACUGCUGAUGUGGAGCUCCCUGAAGCAGGCUCACAUAACGGAAGUUCCCUCAGAGGUUCCACUGUCCAGAACAGUACAGAUUGGUGCUUGGUGUAAACGCCACUGGGAUCAGUAUGGCAUUGAUCACAGUGAAGUCAUGAACAUUUCCAUAAUUAACAGCAUACAAAACUAACAGUACCAUUAAGAGAAAUGCAGAUAGACAUCCAGAUGGAUCUCCAAUGGCAGCUAUGAACCAAUUCACAUUGACUUCAAUGGAAACUUCCCAUCUCAGAUGCACAUGGCACUUCAACAUGUAUUGCCGUUAAUAUUUAACCACCUUUACAAAAAUACAGCCUUACUUAAAU